UACGUAGGUGACAAGCGUUGUCCGGAUUUACUGGGCGUAAAGAGCGCGCAGGCGGUCGGAUAAGUCGAGUGUGAAAGCCCCUGGCUCAACCAGGGAGGGUCAUUCGAUACUGUUCGACUCGAAGGCAGGAGAGGGAAGUGGAAUUCCGGGUGUAGUGGUGAAAUGCGUAGAUAUCCGGAGGAACACCAGUGGCGAAGGCGACUUUCUGGCCUGUUCUUGACGCUGAGGCGCGAAAGCUAGGGGAGCAAACGGGG
rnacentral:rRNA from 1 species